UUAAGUAAACAAAAUGAUUUUUUUUUUCUUUGGUCAAACCGAUGAAAAUCCCCUCAAUAUCUCUCUGAUUCGAUUUGGGUGUCUUUUUGAUUUGGUUUUAUAUCGUUCAAUUGCUCGGUGAUUGAAAUCGGAAUCGAGUGUGAUUGAGAGGUAGGAGAGAGGAGGAUAAUGGCUCAAGUCGUAGAAGAAUGGUACAAACAGAUGUCGAUUAUAGCGCGGUCGUAUCUCACGGCGGCUGUAGGCACCACUGCGGAUGUUCGCUCGAGAUUAUAUCUCCUUAUAAUCUCUAACUUAAUCUUAUCGUUGUGGUGAAGCAAUACCAGUUCUUGCGCCUCGUUACAAAUUUUCUAUAUUUCCGGAAUAUGGCUGAAUUCAUAGUUCUGUCUGAAGUUUUACUUUGUAGAAGAAGUGUCUGAUGUUAAGAAGUUGAAGAGCCCGUUUCUAUUUUUGCUACAGUUAUGUUAUUUUGGACUUUUUGUUCCAUAUGUUAUUUCUUGCUAGAAGAUACUGCUAACUCCUCGAAGAAAACUCCUUCAGGGGAAAGACUGCAGAUUUCCUUUACAUGCUCUUAUUUGGGGCAACUGUUUUAACUGGUAUUGUUCUCAUUGGUGGAAUGCUACCUUAUUUGUCUGUGUCAUUCUCCAAAAUCAUCUUCCUCAGCAAUUCUUUGACUUUCAUGAUGGUAACACUUCUAUCUUUCGAUUUCAAAUCUAA